rnacentral:rRNA from 1 species
UACAGAGGUCCCAAGCGUUGUUCGGAUUCACUGGGCGUAAAGGGUGCGUAGGUGGUCGGGUAAGUCUGAUGUGAAAUCUCCGAGCUCAACUCGGAAAUGGCAUUGGAAACUACCUGGCUGGAGGGUUGGAGGGGGGACUGGAAUUCUCGGUGUAGCAGUGGAAAUGCGUAGAUAUCGAAGAGGAACACCAGUGGCGAAGGCGGAGUCCCUGGACAACUCC